GCCUAAUAACCAUAAGACAGCAUCUGUGAGAGAAGUCCUUAAGGAACAAAACAAAGACUUCAAAGGUCACACCUCCUCCAAAGUCCAAACGGAGCAGUUUGUUGAAUGGAAGAACAAAACAUGGCAAGGUGGAAGAAAGAUCUUAGAUAAAUCUCCAGUGAUCAUGACAUGACAAGCAGGAGCAUCGGAGCAAGCCUGCUGUGGGGAUGCUGCAGUGAGCAUUUCUUUUGACUGAGGUUCCUCAUAACUCCCAUCUGACAAAUGACUUCUUCCAAUGACCAGAGAUCAACAGUGACAGUGGAGAAGACGGCCCUAAAACAUAGAACAGAAGGUUGAAUGCAGACAGAUCCUCAUAAGACUAAGAGCUCUGCGCUGUGAUAAAACACUUGAAUGGAGACGUGAUUUAAUCAUGUUCUCACACAGACACUUCCACGCGGAGACAAAGGAUCUGAAAGGUUAAGUGAAAAAUAUUUAUUUUUUUAACAGAGUGGCGGAAACGUAUGGAAGCCCGUUUCCGCCACUCUGUUAAAAAAAUAAAUAAUAAAUAAUCUCAUUAUAAUGAGAUAGUGACAGAAGGGUGUCACUAUGAGAUAUUUUGAGAUAUCUCAUUAUUUUCAGAUACUAUCUCAUUAUUAUGAGAUUAUUUAUUUAUUUUUAAAUAAAUACAUGGCAGAAACAGGCUUCCAUAGAGUUUGUGAAAACUUUUGCAAGGCGUUUUGUGAGUUCACAGAACUGACGAUGUAGUGUAUUGCUCUAUGGGUACGAAAAGAAAUAUUCAGACAGACAA